CGUCACCAAACUAAACCCCCCAAAACCCUUCGUUCGUUUCUUCUCUCUCCUCUACCUCACUUCAGAGCUGCCACAAAUCCAUAGAACAAAAUGGCAUCAAAAAAACCAUGGAGAAUAAUUCCAAGACCACUCCUAGAAACAAUCCUCAACAACCACGCGCAGCACCACCGAGUCCAUCAACCACUCCUCCUUCACGGCCCUCGCGGCGUCGGAAAAACCACCCUCAUUCUAGAACGUUUACUCAACGACUGGAACAAAGGUCCUCACAUCACCGGUUACGUCGAUUUCGCUGAAUCCAUUAAACCCCAAACCGGUCCAUCCUUUCCAUGGGCCUCAUGGUCCACCUCCCCACCUCCCACUCUAUCCGAUUGCCGGAAGAGUCUCGACCAAUGUCUAGAAGCCAUGGCCGAGAAAGCUCUCCGAAUGGGAGCCAUUACUUCUCGCCAGAUAUUCACUUCGCUCAAUAAAUGGCACGGUCUCACUGCAUCGCUUCGGCGCGUGUUGAACACUCCAGCUUCUAAUAAAGGUUCCCCGGCCGCGCUGUGGGACCGUGCCGUUUUAACGAUGUCGACUCAGUGUAAUGCGGAUGAGAUCGAUAGGGUUUUGGGAUUUGGGGAAAAGGAGAAGAAUGUUUUGUCUGUUGAAGAGGCUUCGUAUUUCAAGGAAUCUGUGGUUGCGUUGAAGCUAGCUAAGAAAGUUAUUGAGAUGCAACAAGGGUGGAGAGCUAAUGCCAUUGCUCAUAUGAAUCGAACUGGAGGGUUUUCUAGGACUCUCACUCAUUCUUCAACUGAUUGGCCCUUGUUGUUGUUGGAUUUGUUAUCACAGGCUGCUGAAAUUCAUCAUUUUCAGCCGAAGCUGGUACUUAACAAUAUUGAAGUUCUAAAGCAUGCUACUGUAAAUGAUGAGUUUUCAGUCACUGGUCCACUCUAUCAUGAUAGCUUGAUAUGGAGAAUAAUUGCUUUGGGUGCUAACGAACAAUGUCUUCCUAUUAUCCUCGUCACAUCUGAUGGCUAUUAUUCAUAUGAAGCUUUCUUGGAUUUUGGAUAUAUGGAGAUAUUCAUCUCACGCGAGACCUUUGGGUGGACUCCACAAGAAGCUCAAAUGCACAUGGUCACGGACUAUUUUAGUCACUCAGAAUGGAAAGUGAUUGCUGAGGUUCUUGGGCCAAACCCUCGACAUCUAUUUGAGCUUUAUGCACUUAAACAAAACAAUUAUCUGCACAAGACAACAGCAGACAGAGCUAGUACAUUCGAAGACAUUGUAGAUGCUUAUCUAGCAUAUUUGCAGAUUUCUGUCGUGAAUCCUGCGUUGGAUGGAGCAUUGGAGAUCUUGCAAAAAUUUGCAAUUGAUGUGCGCAAUGGAAAGGUUUCUGAUGAUAGAUUGCGUUUUGGGGCACCUUGGAGGCAUCCACCAAAGGUUGAUGACCCUAAGUUGCGCAUGGAAUGGGCAAAGCUUCAAUUGAUGGAUUUUGUUAAAUCUCUGGUCAAUGCAGACUUUGGGGUCAAUUAUCGAAUUGAAUAUAGUGAAGAAAUAUUUGAUGAUCCUUCUGCCGUUGCAUUACUUCAGGUGGGGUUGCUUUAUGCUCAACGGGAUCCACCCUUCUUUCGUCCCAUAUCUAGAGGAAUUCAGAGGUGUCUAGUAAGAUGGCUUGUCCAGCAGCGGAUGCAGCUCAGGUUCCCCCAGUUGAUUCAAUUUUAUUGGCACAGAAUAAUACGGGGACGUUAUUAUCGCCAUUUGAUGGUACAAGUAGACAAUAAGUACUAGGCAGAGCAUCAGAAUAGAUCUCUGAUAAAUUGUUUUGGGCAUGUAGACUAUUCGUUCAUUAUAUUCAAGAUGAAAUGCAUUUAAAAUGGCACAUUGCAUAAUGCUCGAUGUAACUUUCUGGUACAGUUUUCUGAGCUUAUGCCCUGCCAUCUUUUACAGCCAGCAGAUGUGUGCCAACUGUUCCUUGGCAUUAUUACACAAAAGGAAUAAUGGCUCCAAAUUCGCGCUUCAGUGGUCAAGAAUUUUCUGGCACAUUGUGUUAAUGUUUUUAUGAUACGAGGCUACAAUACGACUAUGCUUUUGAAGUAGAAAAUGUCAAGGACCCAGCAAUUCAGAUUGAUGGAUUUCUGUGUGCCCGUUUCUAAUCUGAAGUUUAACAAAAUAUUGAACCACACUAUCAUUUGUACAAGUUAAAGCAUGUUUCUCACAAAUCACUGUGAGCUUGUGGGCUUCCAAAUAGGUUUAUUUAUAAAAAGGAAGUUCUAUAUACAGGGGGAAAAUAUCUUUGCAUAUUGUGAAUCAGAUAGAUUAGUUUACAUGUUGUACAGCGAGCUGGCCAAUUUGGGCAUUGUUUAUUUGAUUAGCACGCCAUUAUGGUGCUUUCUGUUGAAUAAAUAGUUAUUUGUGUGCAACUUAGAUACUGAUUAUUUCCUAAUUUGCACCUUGAUUGAUUGUAAACUAUGAUACCGGUUUGCAGAUUAUACACAAAUUUCAUUGUCUAUCA